rnacentral:rRNA from 1 species
CCUACGGGUGGCAGCAGUGAGGAAUAUUGGUCAAUGGACGGAAGUCUGAACCAGCCAUGCCGCGUGCAGGAUGAAGGCUCUAUGAGUUGUAAACUGCUUUUGUACGAGAAUAAUAGUUCUUACGUGUAGGGAUUUGAGUGUAUCGUACGAAUAAGGAUCGGCUACCUCCGUGCCAGCAGCCGCGGUAAUACGGAGGAUGCGAGCGUGAUCCGGAUUUAUUGGGUUUAAAGGGUGCGUAGGCGGACUGUUAAGUCAGCGGUAAAAGCCCGGGGCUCAACCCCGGCGAGCCGUUGAAACUGGCGGUCUUGAGAUGUCGAGAGGUAUGCGGAAUGCGCAGUGUAGCGGUGAAAUGCUUAGAUAUUGCGCAGAACUCCGAUUGCGAAGGCAGCAUACCGGAGGCGAUCUGACGCUGAGGCACGAAAGCGUGGGUAUCGAACAGGAUUAGAUACCCCUGUAGUC